GACGAAUGCUGGCUGCGUGCUUAACACAUGCAAGUCGAACGGUGAAAGGGAGCUUGCUCCCUGGAUCAGUGGCGAACGGGUGAGUAACACGUGGGCAACCUGCCCCUCACUCUGGGAUAACUCCGGGAAACCGGGGCUAAUACCGGAUACGACCUGGUGCGACAUCGCACCGGGUGGAAAGAACUUCGGUGAGGGAUGGGCCCGCGGCCUAACAGGUUGUUGGUGGGGUAACGGCCCACCAAGGCGACGACGGGUAGCCGGCCUGAGAGGGCGACCGGCCACACUGGGACUGAGACACGGCCCAGACUCCUACGGGAGACAGCAGUGGGGAAUAUUGCGCAAUGGGCGAAAGCCUGACGCAGCGACGCAGCGUGAGGGACGAAGGCCUUCGGGUUGUAAACCUCUUUCAGCGGGGACGAAGCAAAAGUGACGGUACCCGCAGAAGAAGCACCGGCUAACUACGUGCCAGCCGCCGCGGUAA
rnacentral:rRNA from 1 species